rnacentral:rRNA from 1 species
GACGAACGCUGGCGGCGUGCCUAAUACAUGCAAGUAGAACGCUGAAGGAGGAGCUUGCUUCUCUGGAUGAGUUGCGAACGGGUGAGUAACGCGUAGGUAACCUGCCUGGUAGCGGGGGAUAACUAUUGGAAACGAUAGCUAAUACCGCAUAAGAGUAGAUGUUGCAUGACAUUUGCUUAAAAGGUGCAAUUGCAUCACUACCAGAUGGACCUGCGUUGUAUUAGUUAGUUGGUGGGGUAAUGGCUCACCAAGGCGACGAUACAUAGCCGACCUGAGAGGGUGAUCGGCCACACUGGGACUGGAACACGGCCCAGACUCCUACGGGAGGCAGCAGUAGGGAAUCUUCGGCAAUGGACGGAAGUCUGACCGAGCAACGCCGCGUGAGUGAAGAAGGUUUUCGGAUCGUAAAGCUCUGUUGUAAGAGAAGAACGAGUGUGAGAGUGGAAAGUUCACACUGUGACGGUAUCUUACCAGAAAGGGACGGCUAACUACGUG